GUUCAGAAGUCGUCGGGCAGCCCAGCGAAGCGGCCACCUUCUCCACAGUUUCUCUCACAGUCAAGCCAGAGAGCUGCUCCAUUGCUGCUUCUCGUUUCAGCCUAAAGACGGACACCAUCCCAAAAGAGCCGUACGCAGAAGCAAAGAGUCAUCGGGAGAGCACCCAACUUCCGCAGGGACAAUGCACCUUGUCUUCACACUGCUUCCCUUAAGGAAGCACUUCAGGAGUGUGAAAUGCAAGGACCACAAGACUGACAGUUUUUUCCACUAGGUGAUCAGAAUCCUGAAUCGCAAUUGCACAUCAACUCUGAAAGUGCUGCCCACAGACCUCACACACAUGCUGACAGUUGAAAUAUAAACACACACAUUGUAAUUUAUGCCCCAAAUAAGGUUUACAUUUUUCUCAUUAUGAUGUCCCUUUUUAUUCUUUCUCUCUCUCUCUCUCUCUCUCUCUCUCUCUCUCUCUCUCUCUCUCUCUCUCUCUCUCUCUCUCUCUGUCCCUAUGUUUUAUAUUCUUGUGAUUGUAAAGGGAGGCAUUCAAGUAAGAAUUUCAGUGCAUGCUGUAUUUUACAUGCACAUGAAAAUAACUAUCUUUCAAUCUCGGGGCACACUGGUAGGAAAUCAGUUUGUGUGAGGUUCAGAACUUUCUUGGCAAUCCACAAGGUUUUGCCUUUUCAUCUUAUUUGCUGAUCUUGGGUGAAACCUGUCACCACAUAACAAAUGACAUUCUCGAUAACCACAUGGAGCUUCAAACAACAAAGCGCGUGAGCGAAAAGUGGUUAAGAUUGCACACUAUCCGUGUUUUUAUGUUAUG